rnacentral:rRNA from 1 species
GAUGAACGCUGGCGGCGUGCUUAACACAUGCAAGUCGAACGGAAAGGCCCAAGCUUGCUUGGGUACUCGAGUGGCGAACGGGUGAGUAACACGUGGGUGAUCUGCCCUGCACUUCGGGAUAAGCCUGGGAAACUGGGUCUAAUACCGGAUAGGACGAUGGUUUGGAUGCCAUUGUGGAAAGUUUUUUCGGUGUGGGAUGAGCUCGCGGCCUAUCAGCUUGUUGGUGGGGUAAUGGCCUACCAAGGCGUCGACGGGUAGCCGGCCUGAGAGGGUGUACGGCCACAUUGGGAGUGAGAGACGGCCCAGACUCCUACGGGAGGCAGCAGUGGGGAAUAUUGCACAAUGGGCGCAAGCCUGAUGCAGCGACGCCGCGUGGGGGAUGACGGCCUUCGGGUUGUAAACUCCUUUCGCUAGGGACGAAGCGUUUUUGUGACGGUACCUGGAGAAGAAGCACCGGCUAACUACGUG